CACAGCGAGAAUCCUGGCCCUGGCCCCUUCGCUCCCUGUCAAGCAUCAGAGCCUGUUCAUUGGCUCUAACUUGGCAGGGGGCGGGGCCUCCCAGAGCAGCUGUCCGUCUUGAGCGGAGCCAGGCCCCACCCCGUCGCGCCUGCGCAGUGCGUCCGUUGGCGCCAGGAGCCUGGGCUGUAGAGCAGUUGCAGUUCGGCAGGAACGCUGCUGUGCAGCGGCGAGUCCUGGGAACAGCAGCAGGAGCAGGCGGCGGCGGCGGCGGAGCAGACGCGGGGACGGCGGCGCGCUUGGGGGUCUGCGGACGGCGGUCUCGAUGGCGGGCAGGGGUGAAAAGAAGUUAGAAGAAGAAAUCAACUAUUUUGCCCAAGCAUUUUGUUCAAUUUGGAAGACAUGACAUUGAGAAAAGAAUGGGGACUGUGGAGUUAGAAGUGGAGUCACUAUGGCCUUUGAGGUUUCCCCGGAGGCAUCUGGAUCCACCUGUGAGAAGCCCCCUUCCCCCUGCAGCCUCAGGAUGCCAGUGGCUUCCCCCGUCUCCCGGGUGAGAUGUCCUUGGUGAGUGGAUAUUGAAAGGAAAAACCCGGCCCAAACACAGAAUGAGAAACACACCAGCAGACAAAGGCUCAACCCUGACGUAUUAAGAAGGCAAGAUGGACAGGUGGGCUGCUCUCUCGAAAGUGGGAGCAGCAGCAGGGAGAGUUGGAGUGGGCCCUUUAUAUCCCGUUAAGGAACACCCCAGAAACACAGGAAGCAGCAGCAAGAGAUGGCGUGUCCUCCCAGAGUGGAGACUGCUGCCCAUGCUGAGAGUGGAAAGUGGAACAUGCCUGGAGGGGUGACCCUCCUCAUGGGGACUUCUCAGUGUUGGUGGAGCUUCCUCUCCAGAGCAGCUCCAUGGCCUGUCUGGGGGUUGACUUUAGCAAUAAGAGCAGCAGCCCAUGCCGCUGACCAUCUGGGAGGGUAGGGAGUCCCCGUGACAGACCUUUCAAGUCCUUCUCCCCCAAUGACACCUCCAGGGCCCCUCCAGUCCCCACCCCAGUCUCUCUCUUCAGUAGCUUGCUCUGGGGACAGGUCAGAGGAAGUUUCUCCUGGUGUCUGGGGCUUGUGUAACAGGCAUCUGGGAACAGGAAGCUUAUGGGAAAGGAAGAACACAGGUGGUCCAGCUCUCUCAGAAGGGGCCUGGGUGUGAAUUCCUGUUCUACUACUUACUACCUAUGUCAUCUCUGAAAGGCUACUCAUCCCUCAUAGGCUUCAGUUGAUCUUUAAAAAGAAACUAAAAAGGGAGGACCGCUGCUGCUGGCCGGUCGUGGGGGGUGACCGCCACUUUGCCCCCGGCAGGAGAGGCUGCCUCACUUACAGGCAACAGCUUUGAAGUGUGGAGCAGGAAAAGAACUGUUUCUUAGCUGCCAAAGCGAGUCUCGAAACAG